ensembl:lncRNA
ACCACCCAUAUCAAAAACCGCUACUGUAGGGAUGGGUUUAAAAGUAUGUUUCCUAAUUCAAAUAAAUUUUAGUUUGAAUAAUCUCAUUUCGAUCCAUUAAACCCUAAAUGUAUGUUGCCAGAAACGCCAGAAUCUCACAAAACUAGUUCAACAGCCGCCAAACAGCUAACCGGUUGUUAAGUGAUGCCGUAUGAACCCUGCUUCCGGGUCCAAACUACUCUGCGUUAAUCAAGGCUGAUGUGUUAACAUGUAGUGAUGGCCGAGUGAAGCCUUCUGAAGCACCGAAGAGUUUCAGGCCUCUUUAGUGACAUCUGGUGGCCAAAAGUAUGAAUCGCAGCUUACAACUCAAACUUCUUCAUUAUGAUUGCCCGCUCCUUAGAGCUGAACUGACAGCGUCUGUUUGAUGUUUACUUCAAUAAUAAAUUAUUUGUCCUUGUUUAAAUGUGCCAUGGUGUGUUCUCCUUUUGCUUGUGACUUCCUAAUAUAACACACACACACACACACCAGAAAAUUAAAAUCUCCUUGUUUUAUCGUCAGUUACUUUGACACAAUGGACAAGCGGAAGAGAGUUGAUGGAUGUACAGAAAUGAGACAACCAUUAGAAUGACAGAAAAAUACUUAGACAACUUUAUUGUGUAUCAAAAUACUGUCUUACAAUCAUUUUUAAAGCCUUUUUAUUUUGGACAAGAUUCUUUUUUUUGUUCAGAAACAGAUUAGACAGAGCGGAGAUGGAAGGACAAAGGGAGGGGAGGAGGGAGGGGUGGGUGUUGCUGAAGGGGAAACUGGUGAGAUCUAAAACACUGAGCGCAAAAAAAAAAAAAAAAACAAAAAAAAAAAAAACCAAGCAUCUGUCCACUCCCUCUGACGCGAUGAACCACACCAUCAUCGUCAUUGUCAGCCCUUCUGUUAAGUACAACUUUGGAAACUUCCCUUUUUAACAUACAAGGCAGUGAGUCACUGCACACUCACGUUUCAUGCCAGGGAAUCGGGCUCUUUAUCAGAGUUCUUACAACCUAAUGGACAUGGAUGGCCAUUACUGAUGGCACGCUUUCCACAAAAAAAAAAACAAAAAACAAAAAAAAACAAACAAACCGAGGAAGUGGCAUUUCCAGGCAGCAGUGUCGGGAUGACGAGCAAGCUACUGUGAAAUGCGUCUUCCCUACUAAGAACAGCAGUGGCUAAACCUGGAUCACACUAGCAGCAGGUAAAACAGCUGGGUUAGUAACAGAGCAUCAUGAACACUCUGGUGUAAUGAACAGACAUGUGUGUGUUCUCAUAGAAGCUCAUAUCAGAGUGAAUCCAUUAUUUACUGUGUGUAUGUCAGAGUAACUCCUCCAGUGUAAACAGUAACUUCCAUCCAAAGCAGGGGGCCAGACUCUACUGGCGCUACACUAGCUUCUCAUAAAUCCACUGAAAAUCGCCUAAGGCACGACUGACUGCUAGCUUACAGUAAUAAUGAAAAAGGUGCGUCGUUCUCGUCCCCAAGUUUACUGAAUGUGUUUAGCAGAAGAAUGAAAACAGAAAAUGGAACAACUGACUGUAGACAAAGGAAUAUUCAAUGCACUGAACUUUGAAUGGAAUUUUAAAAUAUCCAAUCCUGGAAUCUGGCUGAGGGCAACACUGAUGAAGUCAUUGGUAACAUGGGAGGGACGUGGAGCUGUACACAAUGAUGGCUUAAACUGGAGAACGUCGUUUUAAACAGUGGUACAAUUCUAAUCUGCAGAGCUGGAUUUUUGCUUUUUUAUUUUUUUAAACUGUGAUGUGGUAGGGGCUGCCGGGGAUGUGCUCGUCGCCCCACUUCACCACCAGGAUGUACUCUCCCUUUUCCUUGAGCUGGUAGCUCACGUUGUACAUGCGGUUGCCCAGAUGUUUCACAAGGAUCUCCUCACAUGGGACCUUAGGACCGUCCACGCCAACCAAGAGCAUGUUACGACCUGCAAAAGAUGUUAUCAGGUGAGUGAUUGCAUCAGAUCAGAAUCAGCCCCAGAGCGUGUCGUGCAGAAGCAGCCACACUGCUGAAAGGUGUGGACAAUUCCUCCAAUGUUGCGUUGCUAAAACAAGCACAGCCAUUCCUCAGAGACGAGUCCUGACAACAGCUUCACCAAACUACCAUCGCUGAGUGCUGGCAGUACAGGCCUUCCUUCAGAUGUCCAUUUGCAUGAACAGAUUAAAUGUCAAGUGAAAGCAGCUCAUAUGAAAGCUCUGCCACACCGCAGGAUUUUCUAUUGUCAUACUUACGACUUUACCACAAAAUACAACAUCUGAUCCUGAAUAGCGCUUUGACCCGUGUUCUGUUCAUGCAUAUCCUAGCUUUACACACCUGCUUUGCUGCAGUCAACGCUGAAGUUGUUCUUCUGACCAAUGAAGCCCUUUGUCAGGCCUGGGCCCUUAGCCACAACCUUGCUGGCAUCGGAUUGGAUAGGAGCGCCCUGCUGAGAACAGCUGAUGGCACGGGUCACAGGGUCUACAGUAACAGAGGAGGUUUCAUGCAUACUGUGGCUAGACACAAGCUUGGAA